rnacentral:RNase_P_RNA from 2 species
GGGGGAGAUACAGGUGGUCGCGUCCCUCUUCGGAGGGCCGAGGAAAGUCCGAGCUCCACAGGGCAGGGUGCUGGCUAACGGCCAGUCGCGGCAACGCGAAGGAAAGUGCCACAGAAAACAAACCGCCCGGGCUUCGGCCGGGGUAAGGGUGAAACGGUGAGGUAAGAGCUCACCAGCGCCGGGGGUGACUUCGGCGGCUUGGUAAACCCCACCUGGAGCAAGGCCACAUAGGAGAAGAGAGGUCGCCCGCCUCGUUAUGAUUCUCGGGUAGGUUGCUGGAGGCCCGGGGCAACCCGGGUCCUAGAUAAAUGGCCACCACGGGUCCUUCGGACCCGUACAGAACUCGGCUUAUGGAUCUCCCCCCGGU